rnacentral:rRNA from 1 species
GAUGAACGCUGACAGAAUGCUUAACACAUGCAAGUCUACUUGAACUUCGGUUUGGGUGGCGGACGGGUGAGUAACGCGUAAAGAACUUGCCUCACAGAUAGGGCAACAUUUGGGAAAGAAUGCUUAUUCCUGAUAAUAUGAUUUUAGGGCAUCCUAGGAUUAUGAAAGCUAUAUGCACUGUGAGAGAGCCUUGCGUCCCAUUAGCUAGUUGGAGAGGUAACGGCUCACCAAGGCGAUGAUGGGUAGCCGGCCUGAGAGGGUGAUCGGCCACAAGGGGACUGAGACACGGCCCUUACUCCUACGGGAGGCAGCAGUGGGGAAUAUUGGACAAUGGACCAAGAGUCUGAUCCAGCAAUUCUGUGUGCACGAUGAAGUUUUUCGGAAUGUAAAGUGCUUUCAGUUGGGAAGAAAAAAAUGACGGUACCAACAGAAGAAGUGACGGCUAAAUACGUG